UACGAAGGGGGCUAGCGUUGUUCGGAAUUACUGGGCGUAAAGCGUAUGCAGGCGGAUCUCUAAGUCGGACGUGAAAUCCCCAGGCUCAACCUGGGAACUGCGUCCGAUACUGGAUGGCUUGAAUCCGGGAGAGGGAUGCAGAAUUCCAGGUGUAGCGGUGAAAUGCGUAGAUAUCUGGAGGAAUACCGGUGGCGAAGGCGGCAUCCUGGACCGGCAUUGACGCUGAGGAGCGAAAGCCAGGGGAGCAAACGGG
rnacentral:rRNA from 1 species